GCCUUCGUGGUGUAAUGGUCAGCACACUGAGCCGGUAUUUCAGAGGUCCGUGGUUCGAUUCCCAGUGAAGGCA
rnacentral:tRNA from 1 species